GUGUGGCCACCUCUGGUGCCAUAGACUUAGUGGGCCUUUAAUGCGUGUCAAUGUGUGGCCACCUCUGGUGCCAUAGACUUAGUGGGCCUUUAAUGUGUGUCAAUGUGUGUUAAUCGCCUUCGUGGAGAAAAGUGUACUUAUAUGCAUAUCAAGGAAGAGUGUGAGAAAUAUCACGUCAACACAACUGCAUUUAGUUGUGUUUGUCCAAUCCAUUUCAAACCCACGAGGAGACCCAGGUUCAUGAUGAGAGGCAUAUGGUAUGGGGGUAUGGGAAUAUGGGUAUUCCAUUUGAAGCUACACAUCAUCAAUCAGAAACUGUUUAGACUGGUUCUACUUCAGUUUUGUCACCUGUUAAAGCAUAACUGACUACCUGGCUUCAAGGGGUAACAUCAUAAGUUUCUUUGUUGACUGUUUUAGCAAUUCUAGAUUUAGAUUUAAUAAUCUCCAAUGUUAAAUCACAUCAUUUAAAUACUAUUUUAGUUUCUUGGUUUGUAGGACUGUUGUACGACAGCGUGUGUGCUUCUGUGUGUGGUGAGAGAGUGAGUGAGAGUGUGUGUGUGUGUGUGUGUGUGUGUGUGUUUUAAAUACUGUCAAAGCGGUAGCCAUGUGGGAGCAGCAGCUGCAGCUUUUAUUGAUAGAAGGACAUACCCAUCCUAAGUAACUGUGUGUGUGUGUGUGUGUGUGUGUGUGUGUGUGUGUGUGUGUGUGUGUGUGCGCGCGUUUAAGGCUCUGUUGUCAGAGGGUUGCUGCAGCUGUUCUGCAGCGGGAGGGAGAUAAGAUUAGUCAACACCUUGGAGACGAAACAGGACCAUCCACAGGGUCCACAACAAUGGUCUCAUUCAACGUUAAGACUGGAACAGAACCCAGAAUGGCACCACAGCCCAGGGAGUCAGUGAAGUGGUUCAAGAUGCUCUACAUACUUUCCAGCAGUUUCAUGCUUUAUCUGCUUCAAAUCCAGCAUCCAUUAGCACACAGCAAAACAACCAAUCCCAUGCUUUGAAGGAUGCCAGAGGAGGGAUGUUUACACACUUCCAAAGCAAAGAGUUGCUCAGAGGUAACAGCCUGGUGACAAGAGAUCAUGAUGUGUCGGACAGAAACAUGAGCUCCAGUCGAGCUUUCUUACUGGCUGACCAAUCCGUGAUCAACAGGUCUUUAUUUGGAAAGUUAUUCAAGAAUGCCCUCAAAUGGGCCUUCCAUAACAAGCCUGUGUAUUUACAAAUGGCAAUUUCGAAAGCUUCAACAACACUAUUCAGCUCAUUAGAUAUUCCCUCUCCCUGACAGAGGAAGCUGUACUUGAGACAAAAGGCUACUGCAGAAUAAAAGACUAGUAAGGUCUCAGGGAAUAGUGAGUGAAGAAACCUUUAUGCACUGGUAAUCUGCAUUCAUUCAUUGCCUAUUCUCACUCACAGUGCUUUGUAUUCGAAUCAAGACCUACUACUGCGCAAGGAGAAGCAGCAUCAUUGGGUUGUUUGAUGUCUGUUCUACAAGGCAAACAGAAGCCUUGCAACUAGCAUCAUCAUCCACUGCUGAUCCUUGCUUUCAUAAUAGCCACCUCAUUUCCUCCGUCCACUCCAAAGAGUAAAUGAUCAAUGGCAGCCUGC
ensembl:lncRNA